rnacentral:rRNA from 1 species
GAUUCUGGCUCAGAAUGAACGCUAGCUACAGGCUUAACACAUGCAAGUCGAGGGGCAUCAUGGAGUUUGCUUGCAAACUCUGAUGGCGACCGGCGCACGGGUGAGUAACGCGUAUCCAACCUUCCCUAUAGUAGAGGAUAGCCCGGCGAAAGUCGGAUUAAUACUCUAUGUUUUCCGUUGCAGACAUCUAAGAUGGAACAAAGGCUUGCCGCUAUAGGAUGGGGAUGCGUCUGAUUAGGUAGUCGGCGGGGUAACGGCCCACCGAGCCAUCGAUCAGUAGGGGUUCUGAGAGGAAGGUCCCCCACAUUGGAACUGAGACACGGUCCAAACUCCUACGGGAGGCAGCAGUGAGGAAUAUUGGUCAAUGGGCGAGAGCCUGAACCAGCCAAGUAGCGUGCAGGACGACGGCCCUAUGGGUUGUAAACUGCUUUUAUGCGGGGAUAAAGUUCACUACGUGUAGUGUUUUGUAGGUACCGCAUGAAUAAGGACCGGCUAAUUCCGUGCCAGCAGCAGC